rnacentral:rRNA from 1 species
UUGACCUACGGGACGCAGCAGUGGGGAAUAUUGCACAAUGGGGGGAACCCUGAUGCAGCGACGCCGCGUGAGGGAAGAAGGUUUUCGGAUUGUAAACCUCUGUCCUUGGUGACGAUAAUGACGGUAGCCAAGGAGGAAGCCACGGCUAACUACGUGCCAGCAGCCGCGGUAAUACGUAGGUGGCGAGCGUUGUCCGGAAUUACUGGGUGUAAAGGGAGCGUAGGCGGGAGAGCAAGUCGACUGUGAAAUCUAUGGGCUUAACCCAUAGCUGCGAUCGAAACUGUUCAUCUUGAGUGAAGUAGAGG